rnacentral:rRNA from 1 species
AAUAUUGCCCAAUGGGGGAAACCCUGAUGCAGCAACGCCGCGUGAGCGAUGAAGGCCUNCGGGUCNUNAAGCCCUGUCCUAAGGGNCGACAAUGACGGCUCCUUCGGAGGAAGCCCGGGCGCACUACGCUACAGAAGUCGCGGUACCACAUAGGGGGCAAGCGUUAUCCGGAAUCAUUGGGCGUAAAGGGUGCGUAGGCUGCCCUAUAGGUCAGAGGUCAAAGGCUACGGCACAACCGUAGUAAGCCUUUGAAACUGUAGGACUGGAGUGCAGGAGAGGAGAGUGGAAUUCCUAGUGUAGCGGUGAAAUGCGUAGAUAUUAGGAGGAACACCAGUGGCGAAGGCGACUCUCUGGACUGCAACUGACGCUGAGGCACGAAAGCGUGGGUAGCGAACA